GGGAAGGAUCUCUUCUGAAGAUCCCCUCCUCUGGAGUUUCAUGGUGAGACCUGGGUAUGGCUCUUAAAAUCCAGAUGCAGCUGUGCCAGUCUUUCAUUUGCCCCUCUGGAAUCACAUUGCUCAGGUGGAUAAAGAAGAACCAACUCUUGCUGCCAAAGGAGGCAUAACAAUUCUUAUGUUUUAUCCGUCUCUGCGUGCAGGACGAAUUUAAAACUGACCAUCUCUUGUCCAUACAGUAACCAGUGAACCUGAAACUGGCACCUAGGAUUUCUUAUUUCUUGUAUUUGUACUUGUAUUACAUUACUUGCCAUUACUGCUAGGGCAAUAUUAAAUUUCAUCACUGGCUGCUUUGGAAGCACCACAUAACUCUGAAUCUCCUGUUUUGCAGUUACAGCUAUCAUUAAUAAAGGGAGUGUGUUCAUUUUGUUAAGAAUAGCAGGCUUCCAAAAAAGGUGCACUUCUUAUUCCACUUAUUUCCUUUUCACGUGGUAAGGAAAGGACUGAGACAAAGGAGAAGCUGCUUCAGAAUGAUGUAUUUUGGACGUGUUGAUACAGUUCUCUGACUUAAAACAUAAUAAUGCUUCACAAAAUUUUAAUUAAGAGCAGAAAAAAAAAAAGAUGAGCUUUGCAUUUCUUUAUCAAAAGAAUGUUAAUUGGUGGAAAAUCACUGUAGUCCAGAAAAAUAAUGGAAUAGGUUUGCUAGCAGCCUUUCCUUUUCUCUGGUGUUUCCAGUAUUGAAAAGCAAUAGCUGUAUGAGUCAUCAGAAGCCUUUAGAAUCAGUUUCUUUACUGUGGUUAUGAGAUAUUGGAUUUUUUUUAUGGUGCCUGAAAAUUGGAAAGGAUAAAUUUUAUACAUUAUUAA